rnacentral:rRNA from 1 species
ACCUACGGGGGGCAGCAGUAGGGAAUCUUCCACAAUGGGCGAAAGCCUGAUGGAGCAGCGCCGCGUGGGUGAAGAAGGUCUUCGGAUCGUAAAACCCCGUUGUUAGAGAAGAAAGUGCGUGAGAGUAACUGUUCACGUUUCGACGGUAUCUAACCAGAAAGCCACGGCUAACUACGUGCCAGCAGCCGCGGUAAUACGUAGGUGGCAAGCGUUAUCCGGAUUUAUUGGGCGUAAAGGGAACGCAGGCGGUCUUUUAAGUCUGAUGUGUAAGCCUUCGGCUUAACCGGAGUAGUGCCUUGGGAACU